AUACGGAGGGGGCUAGCGUUGUUCGGAAUUACUGGGCGUAAAGGGCACGUAGGCGGACCAGCCAGUCAGGCGUGAAAGCCCCGGGCUUAACCUGGGAACUGCGCUUGAUACUGCUGGUCUAGAGUCCGGGAGAGGGUAGUGGAAUUCCCAGUGUAGAGGUGAAAUUCGUAGAUAUUGGGAAGAACACCGGUGGCGAAGGCGGCUACCUGGACCGGUACUGACGCUAAGGUGCGAAAGCGUGGGGAGCAAACAGGAUUAGAAACCCGAGUAGUCC
rnacentral:rRNA from 1 species